AAAGGAAUAGACGGGGGCCCGCACAAGCGGUGGAGCAUGUGGUUUAAUUCGAUGCUACGCGAAGAACCUUACCAGGGCUUGACAUCUAUCUGAUGGUCUUUGGAAACAUGGACGUUCCUUCGGGACAGAUAGACAGGUGGUGCAUGGUUGUCGUCAGCUCGUGUCGUGAGAUGUUGGGUUAAGUCCCGCAACGAGCGCAACCCUUAUUCUUAGUUGCCAGCGCGUGAUGGUGGGCACUCUAAGGAGACUGCCGGUGACAAACCGGAGGAAGGUGGGGACGACGUCAAAUCCUCAUGCCCUUUAUGUCCUGGGCUACACACGUGCUACAAUGGUCUGUACAACGGGUUUGCAAAGUCGUGAGGCCAAGCUAAUCCCUGAAAGCAGAUCUCAGUUCGGAUUGCAGGCUGCAACUCGCCUGCAUGAAGUCGGAAUCGCUAGUAAUCGCGGAUCAGAAUGCCGCGGUGAAUACGUUCCCGGGCCUUGUACACACCGCCCGU
rnacentral:rRNA from 1 species